GUUUGAAUAGUUUAACUGGAUAAAACACUUCCCUCCGAAGGAAGAAAUUGCAGGUUCAAAUCCUGUUUCAAACACCA
rnacentral:tRNA from 1 species